UAACCAUGCUGAGGACACCGUUUGAGCAAGUCUUUAAACCUUUCCCAAGCUUCAUAGAACGGUUCAAAAUCAAAUUGCCUGAAUUGACCUAAUUCACUUCUAAGUUG
rnacentral:snoRNA from 1 species